rnacentral:rRNA from 1 species
UACGUAGGGUGCGAGCGUUAAUCGGAAUUACUGGGCGUAAAGCGUGCGCAGGCGGUUUUGUAAGCCAGAUGUGAAAUCCCCGGGCUUAACCUGGGAAUGGCAUUUGGGACUGCAAGGCUUGAGUGCGGCAGAGGAGACUGGAAUUCCUGGUGUAGCAGUGAAAUGCGUAGAUAUCAGGAGGAACACCGAUGGCGAAGGCAGCCCCCUGGGCUAACACUGACGCUCAGGCACGAAAGCGUGGG